UACAGAGGGGGCAAGCGUUGUUCGGAAUUACUGGGCGUAAAGGGCGCGUAGGCGGCCCGCUAAGUCGAACGUGAAAUCCCCGGGCUCAACCCGGGAACUGCGCCCGAUACUGGUGGGCUCGAAUCCGGGAGAGGGAUGCGGAAUUCCAGGUGUAGCGGUGAAAUGCGUAGAUAUCUGGAGGAACACCGGUGGCGAAGGCGGCAUCCUGGACCGGUAUUGACGCUGAGGCGCGAAAGCCAGGGGAGCAAACGGG
rnacentral:rRNA from 1 species